AUGACACUUAUAUUCAUGGAACAUGAUCUCGCAAAGGCUAGAAAUAUGAAACUAGUUCUUUACCUUUUUGAACAAUUGUCGGGGUUAAAAAUUAAUUUUCACAAGAGCGAAUUGUUUUGCUUUGGAAGAGCCAAAGAAGAACAAGAUGCAUAUAGACAAUUGUUCGGUUGUGAAAUGGGUUCCUUGCCAUUUAGAUACCUCGGAAUUCCAAUUCACCAUCGUAGAUUAUCAAAUAAAGAAUGGAAAUGCAUUGAAGAUCGAUCUGAAAAAAAGUUAAGCUGCUGGAAGGGCAAGCUUAUGUCUUAUGGAGGUCGGCUUGUGUUAAUAAAUUCAGUAUUAACAAGUACAUCGAUGUUCCUGCUAACUUUCUUUGAAGUACCUAUAGGGGUACGGAAAAGGUUAGACUUCUAUCGAUCUUGUUUUUUCUGA
rnacentral:rRNA from 1 species